rnacentral:tRNA from 1 species
GGAGAGGUGCCAGAGUGGACGAAUGGGGCAGUCUCGAAAACUGUUGUGGUCCUUCGGGCCACCGAGGGUUCGAAUCCCUCCCUCUCCG